rnacentral:misc_RNA from 1 species
UAGUAAGUAAUGAUCAAUUUUAAAAUAACAGUUCAACACUUUAGACAAAGGCUGAUUUUCGGUUGGAAUAUUGUGAGAAAAUACAAUCGUAGUGCGCUUGGCCUAGUCACGUGACUUUACCGAGGUUAUAAAUAAAGGUGCUUUACCAUCUCUCCGCCUCUUUUCCUCAGUUGCAUCCGACGAGAGUCGUUCAUUCUGUUCCGAUCUAAAGUUCAGUGCAAUGCCGGAAUCGUCGCAUCAGUACAUCAACGGUUACCAAAACGGACACAUGGAGUCAGAAAUUCCAGAUGAAGAUACUUUCCUAUUUACGUCGGAAUCAGUUGGAGAAGGACAUCCAGAUAAAAUGGUAGUGAUCAGAUAAGUGAUGCAAUUUUAGAUGCACACUUACAACAAGAUCCUGAUGCUAAAGUCGCAUGUGAAACUGUAACCAAGACUGGGAUGGUACUGGUCUGUGGAGAGAUAACUUCCAAGGCAGUGGUAGACUACCAGAAAGUAAUUAGAGAUACAAUAAAACAUAUUGGCUAUGAUGAUUCUUCUAAAGG